rnacentral:rRNA from 1 species
GACGAACGCUGGCGGCGUGCUUAACACAUGCGAGUCGAGCGGUAAGGCCCCUACGGGGGUACACGAGCGGCGAACGGGGGAGUAACACGUGAGCAAUCUGCCCAUCACAUCUGGAUAACUCCGGGAAACCGAAGCUAAUACCGAAUACGACCACCACCGCCAUCGGAUGGUGGUGGAAAGUUCCGGCGGUGAUGGAUGAGCUCGCGGCCGAUCAGCUUGUUGGUGGGGUAACGGGACACCAACCCUCCGACGGAUAGCCGGCCGGGGAAGGGGACCGGCCACCCUGGGACUGAGACAGGGAGCAGACUCGAACGGGAGGCAGCAGUGGGAAGCAUUGUACAAUGGGCGCGAGCCUGAUCCAACGACGCCGCGUGAGUGAUGACGGCCUUCGGGUUGUAAACCUCUUUCAGCAGGGACGAAGCGCAAGUGACGGUACCUGCAGAAGAAGCACCGGCCAACUACGUG